UUCUUUUCUAUCAAGGAGCAGGGAACGGGGAAAACUCUGGUGCGCGCUCGGAGUAGAGGUGGCCUCUAUCCUCUUGCUUCAUCGCCCGCUGUCCGUGGGAAACAUGCCCUUGGUGUGCAAAAACCUUCGUCUUCUCGAUGGCAUAGGCGCCUAGGGCACCCAUCUUUUGUCAUAGUCGAUCAAGUAGUCAAUAAAAAUCGUCUUCCUGUAUCCAAUAGAAGUCAUGAGUCUGUUUGUGAUGCAUGUCAGAGAGCAAAAAGUCAUCAGCUACCGUAUCCUCGGUCUACUAGUAUUUCUAGUGCUCCUUUAGAGCUAGUUUUUUCGGAUGUUUGGGGUCCUGCUGUACAAUCUGUUGGCAGAUUCCACUAUUAUAUUUCCUUCAUUGAUGAUUUCAGCAAGUUUACUUGG
rnacentral:rRNA from 1 species